UGAUUGAACGUGCUUGCACGGACUUGACGUUGGUUUACCAGCGAGUGGCGGACGGGUGAGUAACACGUAGGUAACCUGCCCCAAAGCGGGGGAUAACAUUUGGAAACAGAUGCUAAUACCGCAUAACAAUUUGAAUCGCAUGAUUCAAAUUUAAAAGAUGGCUUCGGCUAUCACUUUGGGAUGGACCUGCGGCGCAUUAGCUUGUUGGUAGGGUAACGGCCUACCAAGGCUGUGAUGCGUAGCCGAGUUGAGAGACUGAUCGGCCACAAUGGAACUGAGACACGGUCCAUACUCCUACGGGAGGCAGCAGUAGGGAAUCUUCCACAAUGGGCGCAAGCCUGAUGGAGCAACACCGCGUGAGUGAAGAAGGGUUUCGGCUCGUAAAGCUCUGUUGUUAGAGAAGAACGUGCGUGAGAGCAACUGUUCACGCAGUGACGGUAUCUAACCAGAAAGUCACGGCUAACUACGUGCCAGCAGCCGCGGUAAUACGUAGGUGGCAAGCGUUAUCCGGAUUUAUUGGGCGUAAAGCGAGCGCAGGCGGUUUGAUAAGUCUGAUGUGAAAGCCUUUGGCUUAACCAAAGAAGUGCAUCGGAAACUGUCAGACUUGAGUGCAGAAGAGGACAGUGGAACUCCAUUUGUU
rnacentral:rRNA from 1 species